ACCGGAUAGGACGAAAGUUUAAAGGUGCUUCGGCACCACUGAUGGAUGAGCCUGCGGCGCAUUAGCUAGUUGGUAGGGUAAAGGCCUACCAAGGCGACGAUGCGUAGCCGACCUGAGAGGGUGAACGGCCACACUGGGACUGAGACACGGCCCAGACUCCUACGGGAGGCAGCAGUAGGGAAUCUUCGGCAAUGGGCGAAAGCCUGACCGAGCAACGCCGCGUGAAUGAUGAAGGCCUUCGGGUUGUAAAAUUCUGUUAUAAGGGAAGAAUGGCUCUAGUAGGAAAUGGCUAGAGUGUGACGGUACCUUAUGAGAAAGCCACGGCUAACUACGUGCCAACAGCCGCGGUAAUACGUAGGUGGCGAGCGUUAUCCGGAAUUAUUGGGCGUAAAGAGCGCGCAGGUGGUUGAUUAAGUCUGAUGUGAAAGCCCACGGCUUAACCGUGGAGGGUCAUUGGAAACUGGUCAACUUGAGUGCAGAAGAGGGAAGUGGAAUUCCAUGUGUAGCGGUGAAAUGCGUAGAGAUAUGGAGGAACACCAGU
rnacentral:rRNA from 1 species